GGACCAAGGAGUCUAGCGAACGAGCGUGACGCAAAGGUUCAUUUAAAUUAGAAUCCGUCAAACUUAACGAAAGCAAAAAGCAAAAAAAAUGUAUAUGUAUCUAUAUGUAUAUAUAUGAAAUUGUAUGAUGAGACGUGUAUAUUAAAUAUAUUAAUAGAAGCGUCUAGGCAACUCAGAGAUGGCAAUUAUGUGUGUACGUAUAUAUAUAUAUAUGCAUGCUCGCGCUCAUAUAUCAUGUAUUAUCUCAGAAAUGAGGUGUAUGUGUGUAUGUGUGUGUGUGUUGUGUGUGUGUAUUAUGCGUGCAUUCUGCCGUACUCGUAGCUCGUGCUCUGGAACCCGAAAGAUGGUGAACUAUGCAUGAAAAGGAUGAAGCCAGGGGAAACUCUGGUGGAGGUCCGCAAUGGUUCUGACGUGCAAAUCGAUCAUCAGAAUUAUGUAUAGGGGCGAAAGACCAAUCGAACGAUCUAGUAGCUGGUUCCUUUCGAAGUUUCCCUAAGGAUAGCUGAGGUCUAUAGAAACGAUAGUCACAUGCGGUAAAGCGAAUGAUUAGAGUCGUUGGGUUCGAAACGUUCUCAACCUAUUCUCAGACUGUUAAUGUGUGUGUAUUCCAUUAGCUAGCAGUUAAACACAUAACGGCGUGUAGCAAAUGGAUAGAUAGUAAAGGCCUUUAGUGGGCCAUUUUUGGUAAGCAGAACUGGCGAUGCGGGAUGAACCGGUCGUAAAGUUAAAGUGCCAAAAUCAACGCAUAUCGGACCCCACAAAAGGCGUUAGUAACUAAAGACAGCAGGACGGUGGCCAUGGAAGCCGGC
rnacentral:rRNA from 1 species